rnacentral:rRNA from 1 species
ACGGGGGGACUCCUACGGAGGCAGCAGUAGGGAAUCUUCGGCAAUGGACGAAAGUCUGACCGAGCAACGCCGCGUGAGUGAAGAAGGUUUUCGGAUCGUAAAACUCUGUUGUUAGAGAAGAACGUUGUGUAGAGUGGAAAAUUACACAAGUGACGGUAUCUAACCAGAAAGGGACGGCUAACUACGUGCCAGCAGCCGCGGUAAU